UGGUUAGCCUGAUCAAUGCUUCAAAUAGCCCCAUACAACCAGGCAUUAGACUAGCGAAAUGGGUUUGUUUGUGGCGCCGAGAACUACUGUAUAGCGUAAUGGGUCUUGUGAGGUGAAAUAUAAUAGUGUAAAGGUUGCUAUGGGGUGAGAAAUGAUGGAGUGGAUAACCUAAUCAGUGCUUCAAAUAGCCCCAUACAAUCAGGCAUUAGUCUAGUGAAGUGGGUUUGUUUGUGGUACUAAGAACUGCCAUAUAGCGUAAUGGGUCUUGUGAGGUGAAAUAUUAGGGAGUGGUUAGCCUGAUCAGUGCUUCAAAUAUCCCCUUACAAGCAGGCAUUAGACCAGCGAAGGGGGUGUGUUUAUGGCACGAAGAACUGCCGUAUAGCGUAAUGGGUCUUGUGAGGUGAAAUAUUAGGGAGUGGUUAGCCUGAUCAGUGCUUCAAAUAUCCCCUUACAAGCAGGCAUUAGACCAGCGAAGGGGGUGUGUUUAUGGCUCUAAGAACUGCCAUAUAGCGUAAUGGGUCUUGUGAGGUGAAAUACUAUGGAGUGGAUCCCUUAUUCAAUGCCCAGAACCCCCUUGAAACUCAUUAUAAGUAGCCCUUAGUCCUUUGAGAGUCUAGCGAGGAAAAUGCAGCCCGAGUAACGCAUUUUGCCAGAGUCACCCAAGUCAGUCAUGUUACCAGUCAACGCACAGCUCACCCGCUCACCCGCCAGCCUUAAGACUAGUCCCGGGUGAGGCAGCGACCCCACCCAUCACACUCGCUGCCCAAACGUGCGGGUGAAAGAGUGGAGAGUAGACACCCGCGCCUGUCUCUACAUUCUGAGGGUUGGGUUUUUAGUGAAGGUGUUUCCUCUGAAUUGUUGAAAGUGCAGUGAAUUUGAGGUUGAGUUUUGUUAAUUGGUGCAGGUGAAGUGUGUCCCAGGUAGAGUUUGUUUGUUAACCCGGUAGCUGCGGGGAUCAUGUUUCUUAAAGGCCCCUCUCAGCGAGAAAAAUGAGAAAAAAACAUCACUCACGCAAACCAUUUCAUAAUAUAUAUCAACGCAUUUGUGAUCAGUUUAUGCAUCAUCUAUUUUGGGGGGUUUAUAUCAUGGCAAAAAUUUGGCCUGGCGCUGGUACACGGUAAAGUCACAAAUUUGCCCCAUCGCUGCUACCGGGUUAAAUUUUCUUAAUUUUCUUUUAUUCCUCAUUUUGUGUAACUUCUCUGAGCAACUUUUUUUUACGAGUUUUCUUUGCAACUUUUUAGUGUACCUAUUUUUGUUGCUGUUUUUUGUUUUGAAUUUGUCCUUGAGUGCAAAUUGGAAAGGUAUUUAUGAACUGGAGAACCAACUUUAACUUUUUUUAAUCUUUGUGUCUUUAAAAAUAUUCUUGGUGGUGACAAUUGACGAGGAAACACCUUUUAGUAUACCAUUCAUUACCUUUGUUACCCACUCAGCAUUUAUUAACCAACUACCUAUGUAUAUAAUUUCUCUCAUAUCCUCAUUACCUGUGUUUGUGGCAAGGCUUAUGUUAAGUUCCGCGAGACUCCGUUGGAAGGUAAAAAAGUAAUACCGACACGAUAUUUUUGUACCGCCCCGUGAUAGCGAAUAACACACAAGCUUCUUACACUAAACCUAAGUCGAUGUGUUGAUAUUUUAGUUCGUAUCUUUCUCUCUGUGGAGGUUUGAGGCUUGUCCCAAAAACCAGUGCAAAUCAUAGGCAUUUCCCAUAGCUACUGCAUUUACAGAACACCCCUAGCUCAUUGCCUAGACUAAUCAUAUGUACAAUUAAAUAUAUUAGACGAAAAUAAGAUGUGAUUAUAUAUAGACAAAUUAUUAUCCAUAUGAAAGUAUAUGUGAAGAUUUGACGAGACUACUAUAGCGUUUAUUUUGGAUUGGCGACAGUGCAGAGUUAAAAAUUGUAGGUGAACGAGACAUCCGCCGAGAGAGAUGAUGAUGUGUGUGUAAAUAUACGACUAGACGAGGAUGUUGCUUUGUCAUUUUUGUAUCAUAACAGGGAAGUAUAUGAACCACCGUAGCCAUUGAAUAAAAAUAAUAGAUGA